GAUGAACGCUGGCGGCGUGCCUAAUACAUGCAAGUCGAGCGAACAGACGAGGAGCUUGCUCCUCUGACGUUAGCGGCGGACGGGUGAGUAACACGUGGAUAACCUACCUAUAAGACUGGGAUAACUUCGGGAAACCGGAGCUGAUACCGGAUAAUAUAUUGAACCGCAUGGUUCAAUAGUGAAAGACGGUUUUGCUGUCACUUAUAGAUGGAUCCGCGCCGCAUUAGCUAGUUGGUAAGGUAACGGCUUACCAAGGCAACGAUGCGUAGCCGACCUGAGAGGGUGAUCGGCCACACUGGAACUGAGACACGGUCCAGACUCCUACGGGAGGCAGCAGUAGGGAAUCUUCCGCAAUGGGCGAAAGCUUGACGGAGCAACGCCGCGUGAGUGAUGAAGGUCUUCGGAUCGUAAAACUCUGUUAUUAGGGAAGAACAAAUGUGUAAGUAACUAUGCACGUCUUGACGGUGCCUAAUCAGAAAGCCACGGCUAACUACGUG
rnacentral:rRNA from 1 species